UACAGAGGGGGCAAGCGUUGUUCGGAAUUACUGGGCGUAAAGGGCGCGUAGGCGGCCUUCUAAGUCGAACGUGAAAUCCCCGGGCUCAACCCGGGAACUGCGUCCGAUACUGGAAGGCUUGAAUCCGGGAGGGGGAUGCGGAAUUCCAGGUGUAGCGGUGAAAUGCGUAGAUAUCGAGAGGAACACCUGCGGCGAAGGCGGGUUGCUGGGCUGACACUGACGCUGAGGCGCGAAAGCUAGGGGAGCGAACGGG
rnacentral:rRNA from 1 species